GGGACUUCGGAGACGGCUCCCCCGAGGUGGAUGCCGCUGGGCCGGCUGCCUCGCAUCGCUAUGUGCUGCCUGGGCGCUAUCAUGUGACGGCCGUGCUGGCCCUGGGGGCCGGCUCAGCCCUGCUGGGGACAGACGUGCAGGUGGAAGCGGCACCUGCCGCCCUGGAGCUCGUGUGCCCGUCCUCGGUGCAGAGUGACGAGAGCCUCGACCUCAGCAUCCAGAACCGCGGUGGUUCAGGCCUGGAGGCUGCCUACAGCAUCGUGGCCCUGGGCGAGGAGCCGGCCCGAGCGGUGCACCCGCUCUGCCCCUCGGACACGGAGAUCUUCUCUGGCAACGGGCACUGCUACCGCCUGGUGGUGGAGAAGGCGGCCUGGCUGCAGGCGCAGGAGCAGUGUCGGGCCUGGGCCGGGGCCGCCCUGGCAAUGGUGGACAGUCCCGCCGUGCAGCGCUUCCUGGUCUCCCGGGUCACCAGACACACAGGACCUGGUGCUGGAUGGGAGCGAGUCCUACGACCCCAACCUGGAGGAUGGCGACCAGACGCCGCUCAGUUUCCAGUGGGCCUGUGUGGCUUCGACACAGAGGGAGGCUGGCGGGUGUGCGCUGAACUUUGGGCCCCGCGGGAGCAGCACGGUCACCAUUCCACGGGAACGGCUGGCGGCUGGCGUGGAGUACACCUUCAGCCUCACCGUGUGGAAGGCCGGCCGC
ensembl:lncRNA novel transcript